rnacentral:rRNA from 1 species
AGCGAACGCUGGCGGCAGGCUUAACACAUGCAAGUCGAGCGGGCGUAGCAAUACGUCAGCGGCAGACGGGUGAGUAACGCGUGGGAACAUACCUUUUGGUUCGGAACAACACAGGGAAACUUGUGCUAAUACCGGAUAAGCCCUUACGGGGAAAGAUUUAUCGCCGAAAGAUUGGCCCGCGUCUGAUUAGCUAGUUGGUGAGGUAAUGGCUCACCAAGGCGACGAUCAGUAGCNGGUCUGAGAGGAUGAUCAGCCACAUUGGGACUGAGACACGGUCCAGACUCCUACGGGAGGCAGCAGUGGGGAAUCUUGCGCAAUGGGCGAAAGCCUGACGCAGCGACGCCGCGUGAGUGAUGAA